rnacentral:lncRNA from 1 species
UUUUUCUUUUUCCUCUUUCAAUUACCUUUAUGGAAUUUUAAGAAUUUAAACAAUAUGUUUAAAAGUAUUCUAAUAUUACUUUGUAUUUUGUGUAUGUGCACACAUGCACGUGUAUUUAUCAAAUUUGCACAUUUUAUGAAAAUGGGCUUUCUCUAUAUUGGUGUGGGCGUUGCCUUGCAUUUUAGCUACUUUCAAACACUUUAAGUAGUUUUUAGUGACAUUGAUUAAAAAAAAAAAAACAUUCUUUAAAAUUUGGUUUCCAGGGAUAAAAAGAACUGGAUACACAAAUGGAUGUGAAACACUCAAGGGUACUGAAUUUUACAUGAUAUGGUCUUUAACUAAGUUUAUUGCCAGGCAAAAAGGUGUUAGGUUAAUUAAGAUGGGGAGGUUUCGAUUAACCAGGUACCAAAGUCUCAUUCAUGGGGAGCAAAUAAAAUAGCCAGAAGGAUUCAUAUGAAGGAAUUAAGUCAAUGCACUUAUGGAGAAGAUAUAUGGAGAUGAAGGUUAAGUGCUUCCAACCAAGAUGCCCAGGGUAGCUCCUGCCCAUCUUACGAGGCCAAUGAAACUUUUACUCCACACACUUCUGGCAGCCAACAACAGUUUUCAUAGCUAUUUUGUGAGUUCCGGAGUCAGAUCUUUUCUUUUCUUAGAGAAGGGUUGUGAUUUCCCAAGAAGAAAACUGAGUUGGAGUCACAUAAACCUAAAUUCAAAUCUAGGCCCUACAACUUUUUGCUGUACCAGUGGUGUGUUCUCUUCCAUUUUACUUUAUGUCUUGGGCCUAGGUUCCUCUUUGAUGAUGAUGAUGAUAAUGUCUUCUUUAUUGUUUUUAAAAUAUCCAGUUCUGAGUGGCAGAGUUAGGCUAGUUACUCUCCAAAACCCAUUUGCUCCUUCUCCUGGGCAGAUAACUGGAAUACAUUUUCCAGCCUCCCUUGCAGUUGGAUGUGGUCAUACGAUGGAGUUCUAGCCAAUGGAACAUGAAUUAAAGUGAUAUGUUCACUCCUAGAUCUGCCCUAUAAAAAUUUCCCAUCAGUGAUCCUCCAUGUUAUUUCCUCUUCUGCAUGGUAUGUGUUUAUACCUGGAGAAGCCUUGGAAGCUGGAUGUAUAAAGUGUCAGAAUCACCAUGAACCUGGACUUCUGAAUCACUGUGGGGAGGACACUUUCCCUCCCUCUGCCCAAUAACUGUAGUGAGCAAAAAAAUGCCAUAUGAGUAUUUAUUUUCUUACACUCUGUCCUCUAGAAAAAGAACACGACCAAAUGAUCUAAAACCCAGAGAGAGUAAAUCACCCAACAUUAUACAAGAGAGGUGGCAGGCGCACAUAAUGCAUGGCGAUUGGUGGAUGGUGGUGGAAUGUAUUUGUUUUGUAUGGACUAGAUACUGAGUCUAAUAUGGACUAGAUAUGCUGCCCAAGGGACAGCUGUUUCAAGGAAUGGUAUUUUACUUUGCUUGAUUUGUUGCCAUGUGAAGAAGUGGAUAGGGAGAAACUGGUAACACCAGAGGAGAAAGAAAAAGAGAGAAAUGAUGGUGAGACUAAUAAGAAACCCAUAGCCUUUUCCCUGCAGCAACAUGGAGAAUUCAAAGGAUCCCCUUUGGAGAGCCUGGAGGAUUAAUGACAAAUGUCCCAGCAAGAGAAAAUACCAGAAGGAGGGAUCCUGGGUGAUGAUUAUGCCCAAUACUGUGGAGACCUUCUUGAUCAGGAAAAUGCUAACUGUGACAACCACGGGACCUGACUAAGACUGGAUUCUUGCAUGAUUUCAUGCUUUCGAGUGCCAGAGCCCAUUUUAGAAUUGUUUGCUAUACUGACUCAGCCACCCUGAAUCGAAUCACUUUCUGUAUAUAUAAAUCAACUAUGCUUGCAGGUACAAUAUGCUUUUGUAUUACACAGCUUUCCCUCCCCUUAUAUCCUUGCAAGAAGGAAACUGCUACCAACAGAAAGGCAAUACAUUCAGAAAACAACCCACGUUAUCAUGGUAAGGCCUUACUAUUGGGAUCACAUAGGAAUUUCUUGUCUGUGAAGAGAAUAUAACCCCGAAACAGAUUUGAAAGGAGACAGAGAGGAUAUUGCGGAAGGAAAGGGUGGGAGGCAAUUAGAAAAGGCAUAUAAGCUUGGUAACUUGGCUAUAAAAAGUAUGUGAGAUCACAAAGUAAAAACCAUAUGUCCAUCCAUCCAUCCAUCCAAUAACCAGUGAUUGAGGAUUUUCCAUCUCUAGAUACUUUCCAUCUACAUCUAUCUAUCAUCUAUCUAUCUAUCUAUCUAUCUAUCUAUCUAUCUAUCUAUCUAUCUUCUAUCUGCAAAAAGUAUCAAGAAAAUUAAUAGGAAUCAUAUGGAAGAUAGAGGAAUAUACAGAUUACUAAU